rnacentral:rRNA from 1 species
UAAUACGGAGGGGGCCAGCGUUGUUCGGAAUCAUUGGGCGUAAAGGGCGCGUAGGCGGCCGAGCAAGUCGGACGUGAAAUCCCCCGGCUCAACUGGGGAACUGCAUCCGAAACUGCUUGGCUUGAGUCCUGGAGAGGGUAGUGGAAUUCCCAGUGUAGCGGUGAAAUGCGUAGAUACUGGGAGGAACACCGGUGGCGAAGGCGGCUACCUGGACAGGUACUGACGCUGAGGCGCGAAAGCUAGGGGAGCAAACAGGAUUAGAUACCCUGGUAGUCCUAGCUGUAAACGAUGGGCACUUGGUGUUGCGGGUAUCGACCCCUGCAGUGCCGAAGCUAACGCAUUAAGUGCCCCGCCUGGGGAGUACGGUCGCAAGGCUG